GACGAACGCUGGCGGCGUGCUUAACACAUGCAAGUCGAACGGAAAGGCCCUGCUUUUGUGGGGUGCUCGAGUGGCGAACGGGUGAGUAACACGUGAGUAACCUGCCCUUGACUUUGGGAUAACUUCAGGAAACUGGGGCUAAUACCGGAUAGGAGCUCCUGCUGCAUGGUGGGGGUUGGAAAGUUUCGGCGGUUGGGGAUGGACUCGCGGCUUAUCAGCUUGUUGGUGGGGUAGUGUCUUACCAAGGCUUUGACGGGUAGCCGGCCUGAGAGGGUGACCGGCCACAUUGGGACUGAGAUACGGCCCAGACUCCUACGGGAGGCACCAGUGGGGAAUAUUGCACAAUGGGCGGAAGCCUGAUGCAGCAACGCCGCGUGCGGGAUGACGGCCUUCGGGUUGUAAACCGCUUUCGCCUGUGACGAAGCGUGAGUGACGGUAAUGGGUAAAGAAGCACCGGCUAACUACGUG
rnacentral:rRNA from 1 species